GGCGCCGUGGCGUAGUGGUUAGCGCGCCUGCCUAUAACCCAGAGGUAAUGGGUUCAAAGCUCGUCGCCGCUA
rfam:Ciona intestinalis ciona1083, whole genome shotgun sequence.